rnacentral:lncRNA from 1 species
CUUCGUGUUCUUUGUUACUAUGCUGCUUGGACUCUCUUACUCUCAGCCUUCUGACAACUUGCUUCUGACAACUCCUUUCCUCCAGAUAAACCAAGAAGGACUUCAUGCUUCAUGUGUUGGUCCCAACCCAACUUCCCACUGCUGCUCUUCUGACAAAUGAACAUGAUUCUGCUCUUACCUGCCUCUAUCUCGGUUGGAGCUGUCUCACGAUGCUGCCAACUUCCACAGCCUUCUGGAGAAACCAACUCAGCUACAGGUUGGAACGGGGGUAGGGAAUGAGAGUGUGCAGCUUUAUUCCAUCUGAGACAGGGGCCAUAUGUGCUCACAUCCACGCCUAUGUAUUUUUUCCUCACUAGUAGUUGUUAAGUUGUUAAUUCUGUUCUUGAUAGGUUUUAAAAGAAAGGGGGGAAAAUGCUCAGGCUAAGAGAUCCAAGA